UAUAACUUAGAUCCAUAUAACCCAGAGAAGCUUAGAGUAGUUUUACCUUUGACCAGACUAAGUGGUUCAACUGUGGCUAAUACAAAACUCUAAUGUAAUUAAUUUGCUCAUUUAUGCAUUCAAUAUGCAUCAUAACUUUAGACAAAAAUCCUACAAGAGAAACAGUAAUUUGUCUUGAUGGAAGGGUGAAGAAUGAUUAGAUAAUAUGGGGCACUAAGAUUCAUUCUCCUUCUUAAAAUGGAUGGGUUUUUUCCUUUAUUUCUGGAAUAAAGGUUUUUUUUUUUUUUCUUUCUAUUUUCUUUUAGAGAAGAAAAGAAUUCAAACAUGCAAUGCUAGGAAAGAAGAACCGCCACCUGGGCACCUGGGCAUUGAAGGCUCCAGAGAGGUCUCUGCCAUCUUUGGUCUUUCAAGAAUGUUUAAGGCAUCAGCCAUGACUGCUUCUUGAGGUAGAGUAAGAUAUUCAGGUCCGAGUAAGAAAUAGGGCAUAAUGAAUAAAACAAUGUGUGAAUACUAGAACA
rnacentral:lncRNA from 1 species